rnacentral:lncRNA from 1 species
UUUUUUUUUAAAGAGAGAGAGAGAGAAUUUUAAUAUUUAUUUUUUAGUUUUCGGCAGACACAACAUCUUUGUUUGUAUGUGGUGCUGAGGAUUGAACCCGGGCCGCACGCAUGCCAGGCAAGCGCGCUACCGCUUGAGCCACAUCCCCAGCCCACAAAUGCACAUUUCUACAGAUAAAAUUUUUCAAAGAAAAUCUAAUGAGAACCAAAAACAUAAAUUUACAAUAUAAUUACACUUGAAUUUUAGAGAAUUUUUUACAUAUUAGGCCACUGAUUUCUAUGCAAAGGAGUCUGGGUUGAAGUUGAUCAGAUAUAGUGUCAAAAUGUGGCUGUGUCUUCCUCACUCCCUAUUCUUUAUGUUUAUAUCCAGAUAAAAAUUUAUGAAUAGAUCUCUUGUUUAUGUAUUGGCAUAGAGUUUCGUAUCCCGAGUUGUUUGGUGUUUGUUCUGGAUUAUAAAGUAUGUUCCAUGUGUAUCAAUUAGUGUUCUCUGGUUACAAGCUGGAGAUAACACAGACUUAAACAAAAAUGAGACUUAUUGCAAGGCUCUUUGGGAGCUCCCUGAAUCAGUGGGGAGGCUUAAGAACUUGGAAUAGAAAAGAACCAACUAGUUUCAGGAAGAUUUCUGAAAUAAUCUCUGAUUCUAACAGGCUCCAAAAGUAUUUCUGAAACUCCCUGGAGAUUCUCCAUUGGAUACCACUGCUGCAAUUGAUGGCUUCUGUCCGUGUUCCUUCUGCCCAUACAACAUUCUGCUCAAAAUUCAAGAUUCUGGGACAGUCUCUAUUAGCAGUACUUAGGGUCAUGUGCCUAACCCUUGAUCUGUAAUUCUCCAAAAGAAAACCAGUAUGUCAUGUCCUUAGGAAAAGAAUGAUGCUGUGUGACCAGAACAUCUGAUAUUUACUAUAUCAUGUCAUUAAAAAGUCUUCAAAUGUCGGGGCUGGGGUUGUGGCUCAGCAGUAGAGCACUUGCCUAACAUGGGCUGAGUGCUAGGUUCGAUCCUCAGCACCACAUAAAAAUAAAAUAAAAGGUAUUGUGUACAAUUAAAACAAAAAAUUCUUCAAAUGUCAUUUUAAAUAUAUUUUAACAUCUCAUGGGUAUUUCAUUGUUUUUUUAUGUGCAUUUGCAUACUUGCAACUUGUCACUGUGGUAAACAUUUUGUGUGAUGUCAGUGUGGCCUCCCACACCCCCUUAUGAACAAACUUUAGGAGUGGUCAA